ensembl:lncRNA C19orf48P multidrug resistance-related protein
UCCCAGCGGAUUCUCUCUCGUGUCGGGCCGCCCUCGGGGUCCUUUCUCUUCACGGCCCAUCUUUGAUGCUGUCUUCAGAAUUGCCGGACGCAGGGGACAAGACAAUCGUUUCCAUCAUAUCCUUGCCCCUUUUUGUCAGCCCCAGAGACAGCGUCUCCUCGCUUGUUCAGGAAGAUUCUAGCGGAAGCAGGCAGUAUUCCUUUCCCUAAGCAUGAAAUGGGGUUUCCCAAACAGGCGUGUGUAUUGGACGCCUCGGGCGGAGCGCGGGCUGGCGCCGAGGACCGGCCUUGCGAGCGGCGCGCACUAUAAAAUGGCGCGUGCUGCAACCCGCGCCCGCUUCGGAGAGAGAAAUGCUGGGGUGCAGCUUCAAGCUUAGGACCACCCACCAUGCCUAUCCAGGUGCUGAAGGGCCUGACCAUCACUCAUUAAGAACAGAGGAGGCUGCCUGUUACUCCUGGUGUUGCAUCCCUCCAGACACUCUGCUGUUUCCUGCCUAGGCGUGGCUGCAGCCAUGGCUAGGAAAGCGCUGCCACCCACCCACCUGGGCCAGAGCUGGUUCUGCUCCUGCUGCAGGGACACUGAGCUGGCUAUCUCGGCGCUUCGGGCAAGAACUGCAACAGGCUCUCCUGGGUCCUGCAGGUGUACAGCCGGGCCCCUGCCUUGUGCCUCAGCUCUCGAGAGCUGCUGCUGCCGGGUGACCUGAUCCAACCUGAUAAGGUGCCAUCUUCAGCUACCACUGCAAGGCCCUGAGGGCAACAGCAGCACGGCACUGCCCACCCGGCUGCUGAUGGCCUGGUGCCAGCUGGGAGUCCUCCCGGCACUUCGAGGCCACUGAGCCACCCUUCCAGCCCCAGCCCACCAUGGACAGGGGUAUCCAGCUUCCUCCUCAACCUCGUCCUCUGCCCCUGAGCCAGUGACGCCCAAGGACAUGCCUGUUACCCAGGUCCUGUACCAGCACUAGCUGGUCAAGGGCAUGACAGUGCUGGAGGCCGUCUUGGAGAUCCAGGCCAUCACUGGCAGCAGGCUGCUCUCCAUGGUGCCAGGGCCCGCCAGGCCACCAGGCUCAUGCUGGGACCCAACCCAGUGCACAAGGACUUGGCUGCUGAGCCACACACCCAGGAGAAGGUGGAUAAGUGGGCUACCAAGGGCUUCCUGCAGGCUAGGGGAGGAGCCACCCCCGCUUCCCUAUUGUGACCAGGCCUAUGGGGAGGAGCUGUCCAUACGCCACCGUGAGACCUGGGCCUGGCUCUCAAGGACAGACACCGCCUGGCCUGGUGCUCCAGGGGUGAAGCAGGCCAGAAUCCUGGGGGAGCUGCUCCUGGUUUGAGCUGCAUUCAGGAAGUGCGGGACAUGGUAGGGGAGGCAAAAAGCCUUGGGCACUACCCUCCCUGUGGAGCUGUUCGGUGUCCGUCGAGCUAGCCACACCCUGACACCAUGUUCAAGGGUACCGGAAGAGAAGGGUGUCUGCCCCCAACCUCCCCUGUGGGUGUCACUGGCCAGAUGUCAUGAGGGAAGCAGGCCUUGUGAGUGGACACUGACCAUGAGUCCCUGGGGGGAGUGAUCCCCCAGGCAUCGUGUGCCAUGUUGCACUUCUGCCCAGGCAGCAGGGUGGGUGGGUACCAUGGGUGCCCACCCCUCCACCACAUGGGGCCCCAAAGCACUGCAGGCCAAGCAGGGCAACCCCACACCCUUGACAUAAAAGCAUCUUGAAGCUUUUACUCCGUUUUUAUAAGGA